rnacentral:rRNA from 1 species
AUACGUAGGGGGCAAGCGUUAUCCGGAUUUACUGGGUGUAAAGGGAGCGUAGGCGGCAAGGCAAGUCUGAUGUGAAAACCCGGGGCUCAACCCCGGGACUGCAUUGGAAACUGCUUAGCUAGAGUGUCGGAGAGGUAAGUGGAAUUCCUAGUGUAGCGGUGAAAUGCGUAGAUAUUAGGAGGAACACCAGUGGCGAAGGCGACUUGCUGGACAUUAACUGACGCUGAGGCGCGAAAGCGUGGGGAGC